rnacentral:snoRNA from 2 species
UUGGAGGCUGUGAUGACCAAAAAAUACCUACCUAUUUUCUGAAUCCUGACGAGAGAAUCCAAUGGAUCCUUCUGAGCCUUCA